GACGAAGGAUCCAAGCGUUAUCCGGAUUUAUUGGGUUUAAAGGGUGCGUAGGCGGAUUGAUAAGUCAGUGGUGAAAGCCUGUUGCUUAACAACAGAACUGCCAUUGAUACUGUCAAUCUUGAAUAUGUUUGAUGUGGGCGGAAUAUGACAUGUAGCGGUGAAAUGCUUAGAUAUGUCAUAGAACACCGAUGGCGAAGGCAGGUCUCUGGGCCACUACUGACGCUGAGAAGCGAAAGCAUGGGGAGCGAACAGG
rnacentral:rRNA from 1 species